GCGGUGGAUGAUGUGGUUUAAUUCGAUGCAACGACGAAAACCUUACCCACCUUUGACAUGGCAGGAAUCCCGAAGAGAUUUGGGAGUGCUCGAAAGAGAACCUGCACACAGGUGCUGCAUGGCUGUCGUCAGCUCGUGUCGUGAGAUGUUGGGUCAAGUCCCGCAACGAGCGCAACCCUUGCCAUUAGUUGCUACGAAAGGGCACUCUAAUGGGACUGCCGGUGACAAACCGGAGGAAGGUGGGGAUGACGUCAAGUCCUCAUGGCCCUUAUAGGUGGGGCUACACACGUCAUACAAUGGCCGGUACAGAGGGUAGCCAACCCGCGAGGGGGAGCCAAUCCCACAAAGCCGGUCGUAGUCCGGAUCGCAGUCUGCAACUCGACUGCGUGAAGUCGGAAUCGCUAGUAAUCGCGGAUCAGCAUGUCGCGGUGAAUACGUUCCCGGGUCUU
rnacentral:rRNA from 1 species